UUUUUAUUUAGUAUAUUAAAGAAUUUUUUUUAUUGUUAUAGUAUAUUAGUACUGUUAAGGAAUUGAUGAAAUAUAUUAAAUAAUUUAUUUAUAGAAGUAUAUUUUAUUUAUAGUACCUUUUGUAUCAGGGUUAAUCAAUUAAUUUAAUUUAUAUUUAGAUCUCGAUUUCAAAAGAGCUAAAUUAAUAUUUUAGUUAAUGUAAAAUAAUUAUUAAUGAUAUUAAUUUAGAGGAGAAAUUUUAUUCGUUUUUGAAGGUAUCUAGUUUUUUAAGAAUUAAAUUUAAUUUAUAUUUAUUUAUUAAUUAGUAUAUUGUUAUAUUAAUUAUAAAGUAAAAUAAAGAUUAUAGGGGAUAAGCUCUAUAAUUAUCUAUAAAAAUUUUUAUUAAUUAAAUUUUGUAGGGUUAAAAAUAUCCAUCAUUAAUAAGUUUGUUAUAAUAUAUUUUAUUUAUUAAUUGAUUUUUUAUUAUUUUUAGUAUAAUAUUAAAAUAUUAGAAUAAAUUUAUGAUUCUAGGUAAUAAUGAUUAAAUUAGUAUAAAAUUUUGUUUAUUAUAUAAUUAUGUUUAUAAUAAGUUAAGGAACUCGGCAAUUAUAGUUCUCGCCUGUUUAUCAAAAACAUGUCCUUUUGAAAUUUAUUGAAGGUCUGACCUGCCCAGUGAAUAAUUUAACGGCCGCGGUAUAUUGACCGUGCAAAGGUAGCAUAAUCAUUAGUCUUUUAAUAGAGGGCUGGAAUGAAGGGUUUAACGAGGAACUAACUGUCUCAACUUAUAUGUUUUAAAAUUUAAUUUUUUAGUUAAAAAGCUAAAAUAUUAUUGGAAGACGAGAAGACCCUAUAGAGCUUUACAUAUAUUUAUUUAACUAUUUUUAUAUCAAUAUUGUUAUAUUAGUUUGUGUUAUGUUGGGGUGACAAAAAUAUAUAAUUAACUUUUUUAUUUAAAGACCAUUAAUUUAUGAAUAUUAGAUCCAUUAUUAUUGAUUAUUAGAUUAAGUUACCUUAGGGAUAACAGCGUAAUCCUCCUCCAGAGUUCAUAUUUACGGGAUGGGGCUUGCGACCUCGAUGUUGGAUUAAGAUAAUUAUUAGGUGUAGCCGCUUAAUGUAUAGGUCUGUUCGACCUUUAAAUUCUUACAU
rnacentral:rRNA from 1 species